UAUAAAUGAGUGUUUUUAGCACAGGAAAUUUUGAAUUUCCAAGAAUAAUUUAAUUAUAUUUGUAG
rnacentral:tRNA from 1 species